GACGGGGCCCGCACAAGCGGAGGAGCAUGUGGUUUUAAGUUCGAUGAUACGCGAGGAACCUUACCUGGGCUCGAACGUAAGAUGACUGUAGGUGAAAGCUUACAUCUCUUCGGAGCAUUUUACGAGGUGCUGCAUGGUUGUCGUCAGCUCGUGCCGUGAGGUGUCGGGUUAAGUCCCAUAACGAGCGCAACCCCUACCUUUAGUUGCCAUCAGGUAAUGCUGGGGACUCUAAAGGAACUGCCUACGCAAGUAGUGAGGAAGGCGGGGAUGACGUCAAAUCAGCACGGCCCUUACGUCCAGGGCUACACACGUGCUACAAUGGCCGGUACAAAGGGUUGCGAAGCCGUGAGGUGGAGCGAAUCUCAAAAAGCCGGCCUCAGUUCGGAUUGGAGGCUGCAACUCGCCUCCAUGAAGUCGGAAUCGCUAGUAACCGCAGAUCAGCUACGUUGCGGUGAAUACGUUCCCGGGCCUU
rnacentral:rRNA from 1 species